UACGUAGGGGGCAAGCGUUGUCCGGAAUCAUUGGGCGUAAAGCGCGUGUAGGCGGCUCGAUAAGUCUGCUGUGAAAGUCCAAGGCUCAACCUUGGGAUGCCGGUGGAUACUGUCGAGCUCGAGUCCGGAAGAGGAGUGUGGAGUUCCUGGUGUAGCGGUGAAAUGCGCAGAUAUCAGGAGGAACACCAAUGGCGAAGGCAGCACUCUGGGACGUGACUGACGCUGAGACGCGAAAGCGUGGGGAGCAAACAGG
rnacentral:rRNA from 1 species